GAGAAACCGAGGACCUUUGGGUGGAAAACGGGUUUUCAGAAUGAAGGUUCAAGUUUGAUGGUAGGAAAUGUACCCAAAACUAUUUCACCAAAGAACGGGUCAUAACGAGCUGUGUAGACCAGUCAGGGUUCUGAAAGCCCCCGAUACUACAAAUCAUUUCUGAGGACCCUGAGAAAUUUUGCACAAUUCAUUCUCUGUGCCUCUGUUUCCUCAUUUAUAGAAGCCAGGCUCUUGACAACAUCAAGUUUAUAAUGGCAAAAACAAAAUAAUUGAAACUCAAAAGGUAUUGUGAAUAUAAGGUGUCCAGGUCUCCCUUGUCUAUUUUUCUUUUCUUUUCUUUUCUUUUCUUUUUUUUUAUUUGAGUCAGGAGCAUCACAUCCUAAGUAACAAGUACAUAAGGUCAAAGAUGGCAGUCUCCGAAGAGCCACCGAUGGAGUUACAGGUCCUGUUUUGUUAAUAUGCAAGCGACCCUUGUCUUUCAAAGGGAGCCACCGCCAUCCCAUGCCUUCUCAAUCAAACAAACAUGCAGAGACUUACUUUUCUUUGGCCAACAUGGGGCCAGUCUUUCAAGUGUUUAGAGGAAUUGCUUGUCCCUGCAAAGCAAGAAAGACACGCCCUCCUGGCUUUGAAGAGCAGGUUUUUUUUUCAAGCCCAGUUUGCACAAUACUCGAGUACAUCUGUCCCCUUAACUUUCAUCCACUUAAGCGUUGCAGAGUCACUGAACUUGGCUUAUCAGUUCCAAAAAGAAUCAAAUCUGGCUUCAGUGUGGAGUCUAGCCCAAUACAUGAAAGCACAGAAUCAAUUCUCCAGUUGUGGUGUUCUCUGUAGUAUUCCCAGAUGUCUUCGCAUUGUUUGGCAAAUCUAUAAUGUAAUAAAUAUUGAUGGUCCCCUCACAUGUGGUGUUAAAAUUUGCUCGUCCAAAAACGGAUCUUCUUUUCUGCAAUCUUUUUAAAAAAACAUAUCAC
rnacentral:lncRNA from 1 species